AAGUCGUAACAAGGUCUCCGUUGGUGAACCAGCGGAGGGAUCAUUACUGAGUACUACACUCUCUACCCUUUGUGAACUAUUAUACCUGUUGCUUCGGCGGCGCCCGCAAGGGUGCCCGCCGGUCUCAUCAGAAUCUCUGUUUUCGAACCCGACGAUACUUCUGAGUGUUCUUAGCGAACUGUCAAAACUUUUAACAACGGAUCUCUUGGCUCCAGCAUCGAUGAAGAACGCAGCGAAACGCGAUAUGUAAUGUGAAUUGCAGAAUUCAGUGAAUCAUCGAAUCUUUGAACGCACAUGAGCGCCUUCCAGUAUCCUGGGAGGCAUGCCUGUCCGAGCGUCGUUUCAACCCUCGAGCCCCUGUGGCCCGGCGUUGGGGAUCUGCCACGGCAGGCCCCUAAAACCAGUGGCGGACCCGAAGGGCCCUCUCCUUUGCGCAGUAGCAUUCGCCUCGCAUCGGGAGUCCUCGGCGUCCUGCCUCUAAACCCCCCACAAGCCCGACUUCGGCGGCACCAAGGUUGACCUCGGAUCAGGUAGGAAUACCCGCUGAACUUAA
rnacentral:rRNA from 1 species